rnacentral:rRNA from 1 species
AAUCCUACGGGAGGCAGCAGUGGGGAAUAUUGCGCAAUGGACGAAAGUCUGACGCAGCGACGCCGCGUGAGGGAUGAAGGUUUUCGGAUCGUAAACCUCUGUCAGGAGGGAAGAAAGCGCAUGGCGCCAAUCAGCCAUGCGUUGACGGUACCUCCAAAGGAAGCGCCGGCUAACUCCGUGCCAGCAGCCGCGGUAAUACGGAGGGCGCGAGCGUUAAUCGGAAUUAUUGGGCGUAAAGCGAGUGCAGGCGGUUCAAUAAGUCUGAUGUGAAAGCCUUCGGCUCAACCGGAGAAUUGC